rnacentral:tRNA from 1 species
GUCUUCGUGGCGCAAUGGUCAGCACGCUCGGCGCUUAUUCAAGAGGUCCAUGGUUCGAAUCCCGGCGAAGGCA